UAACUUAAAGAAUUAAAAUUUAAUUGUGGUUAAAAAAAUGAUAAAAUAAUAUUAUUUAAUUUUAAUUUAUUUAGUGGGCAAUAAAAAUUUACCCCGGUAAUAUAUUGUUUGUAAAAUGUUUGUUCCAGAAUAAUCGGCUAGACUUGCAUAAUUUUAACUUUAUUUUGUUUAAAUURUAAAAAUUAUGGNUUUUWAAAAAAAWUAAAAAUUUAUAGGUAAAAUUUUAAAUUUUUAAAAUUAAAGUUUAUAAUUUAAAAGUUUAAAUAAUAAAUUAGAUUAGUACCUAAGUAAUUAAAUUUUAUUAAAGCAGAAGUAAAGUAAAGURUAAACUGUAAAAAUUUUGGCAGAUURUUUAAAUUAUCUUUGGAGGUUGAGUAAUAAGUGAGAACCCUCAUUAACUACUAUUAUUAAAGGCUUAUGUAUGAUCGUUUAUUGUGUGUUUAAGACAUAUAAUAAAAUUUUAAAUAUAAUAUAAAAAUAGAUAUAUAUUUAGUGUAUAUAAAAGUUUAAUUUGACCUACAUUAUAAAAAAAUGUGGAUAAUAAAUGUGAAUUUAUUGUGAAAAUGUAAAAGACAGUAAAAAAAAUUUAAUGUUUUUUUGAAGAGUAUUUAAAAAUGGUUCAAAUCAUCCAUCAAUUGCCUAAAGGGGAGUAAGUUGUAGUAAAGUAAAUUUAGGGGAACCUGAAUUUAAUAAU
rnacentral:ncRNA from 1 species